rnacentral:misc_RNA from 1 species
GGAAGGAUCAUUAACACCAAUCCAACUCAACUCAACGAAGUCUUCAGUUGCAUCAGCUGUACUAGCGCAAGCAUUACCGCCGCUGCAACACCAAAAUAAACUAAUUCAUGCAAAGGAGCCUAACUAAGCUCAACCAAAUUAUCAACGAUGGAAAUCUUGGUUCCCAUAACGAUGAAGAACGCAGCGAAGUGCGAUAAUCAAUGCGAAUUAGAGAACCGUGAGUCAUCAGAUUUUAGCACUAACGCAUCGGGCUCCGGCUGGGUCUCCAGUCGGCAGGCUUGUUUCAGCAGUGUCUUGUUAUCUCCACACACAAAUCUUAAUGCGAGAGAUGCCCUUUUCUUGCCAAGCAAGAAAGCACUCUGCACUCUGCGAGCGGUUUCGACUCAAUCGAGGGCAGCACUAAAUGCAGCAGGCUCAUUGCUGUCGCACAAUAUGAAUUUAUUCAUUGAGAGCAGAGGCAGUUCAGCAGCUGCUACCAGUAGUGCCUAGUCACGCAAAUUUUCUUUGCAUAUGAAAUCAAGCAUGACCACCCUCUGAACUUAAGCAUAUCACUAAGCGCAGGAAAAUAAAUUAACUAAUAUUGCCUCAGUCAGUAGCGGCGAGUGAAACGGCAAGAGCCCAAGCUGGAAAUCUCCACACUGCCUGUGUGUGACGUAUUGUAAUUUAAAGAGGGUUCGCUCAACAGGCGGUGGCGCAGAAGUGCCUUAGAACGGGCCGCCACAGAGUGAGGGUGACAGCCCCGCAUGGUGCCACUGCCUUACAAGAGAUCCCCCGAAGAGUCUGGUUGUUUUGAAUUGCAUCCCUAAGUGGGUGAUAAACUACUUCUAAGGCUAAAUACCUCUGGGCAACCGAUAACGAACAAGUACUGUGAAGGAAAGAUGGAAAAAACUUUGAAAAGAGAGGGAGUUAAAAGACUUGAAAUCGUUGGGAAGGAAGUGGCUAAAAAUUAUUAUUCGGCGGUGAACGAUGACUUCAGCCUAUCCAUUGCUGCCAGCAUUUCAUAAGGCUGCGGCUGGAACAGUGGGAAGCGGCUUCCUUGUUCUCCAUCGUGAGGCAAAAUGAGUUCGCACAUCCACAGAGGUUUCUCAAAUCUGGCCCGAUUCGUCGAGCAGUUUGGGUUCGCCUAUGGACUUGAGGCCUGAAAGUUCUUCAUGCGAUGUUGCCAAAAUGGUUUUUACCGACCCGUCUCGAAAAAUGGGCCAAGGAGACUAACAUAUAUGCGAGUGUACAGGUGGAAGGAGAAAACAACACGCAGAAUGAAGGUGAGCGAUGCCAACCACAAGCAGCAUCUUCGCAUGCCGACCAUGAUUCUCCGGUUAAAGGUUUGAGUACGAGCAUAUCUGUUAGUGAUGACACGUUAGGUGGUGAAUUAUUUCUGCUAGUAAGAUGAGUGAAGCUAUGGGAAACUCUGUUGGAGGCUCGUAGUGAAAUUGACGUGCAAAUCGUCACUUCGUCAAACUUGGGUGUAGAUAGGGGCGAAAGACUAAUCGAACCAUCUAGUAGCUUGUUCCCUC